GGUAUGGGAUGAGCUUGCGUCCGAUUAGCUAGUUGGCGGGGCAACGGCCCACCAAGGCGACGAUCGGUAGCCGGCCUGAGAGGGCGAUCGGCCACAUUGGGACUGAGAUACGGCCCAGACUCCUACGGGAGGCAGCAGUAGGGAAUAUUGCACAAUGGGGGAAACCCUGAUGCAGCAACGCCACGUGUGGGAAGAAGCAUUUCGGUGUGUAAACCACUGUCGUGAGGGAAUAAGGCAUUGUUUCGGCGAUGUUGAAUGUACCUCGAAAGGAAGCACCGGCAAACUUCGUGCCAGCAGCCGCGGUAAUACGAGGGGUGCAAGCGUUGUUCGGAAUCACUGGGCGUAAAGGGAGCGUAGGCGGAGAUGCAAGCAGUCUGUACAAUACCGGGGCCCAACCCCGGACCUGCAGACUGGACUGUGUCUCUUGGAUAGUUCAGGGGCAGGC
rnacentral:rRNA from 1 species